AACCAAAAAAUGAAAUGAUUAGGGAAUCUAGAUUCAGGAAAAAAAACCUUUAAUAUAUAGGAAGAAUGUUAUUAUUUGAGAAUAUAUAGGUUACUAUUCCUAAUUUGGGACAAAGGAGUACUUUAUGUUACUAUUUGAAAGGUUUCUAUUUGUAAUUUGGGACAAAUGAGUGCUAUUUGGGACAUAUGAGUACUAUUCAAAAUAUAGGUAUAGGUAGGAGGAAUGAUUGCAUGAUAAGAAUUUUGUGAAGGACAUGAUAGCAAGUUCCAAGAAUACAUGCAAUCAAUAGAAUUGAUAAAGAAGUCACGCCAAUAGAAUUCAUAACAAUGAAAUCAUUGCAUCAUGUGAAUGACACAUAAACAACUAACAUAUGAAAGCUGAGAAAGUAAAGGAACAAAAGACAACAUGUUGUCUACAAAUUUUAGGGAAUGAACAUAGUGGAAAAAAUUUAGUAUAAAUUGCUAAACAUAAAUUCAAAUUAAAAAAUGCUACAUAAAAAAAAAGACUAAUUACUUAAAAGAAAAUUUAAAAUAUAACUUAUUAAUCAUAAGUUACAAAGAUGGUAAAAUUAGUGUGAAUGUAGUUUUAGGAGGAGCUGGUUUACAUAAGGUUGAUGAAUUCAUCUAUGAAGACACUUAUUCAUUGACAUACAUGCAUGAUGCCACUUGUCUCUUCACUUACACAUGUCACAUGAAGCAAGAAAUAAAGAUAAUAGGUAUAAUCAUGAUAUGAUAGCUAGUAAUAGGGAUAAUCAUGAUAGGAAUAGCU
rnacentral:lncRNA from 1 species